rnacentral:rRNA from 1 species
UACGUAGGGGGCAAGCGUUAUCCGGAUUUACUGGGUGUAAAGGGAGCGUAGACGGCAUAGCAAGUCUGAAGUGAAAGCCCAAGGCUCAACCAUGGACUGCUUUGGAAACUGUUAAGCUAGAGUGCUGGAGAGGUAAGCGGAAUUCCUAGUGUAGCGGUGAAAUGCGUAGAUAUUAGGAAGAACACCAGUGGCGAAGGCGGCUUACUGGACAGUAACUGACGUUGAGGCUCGAAAGCGUGGGGAGCAAACAGG